rnacentral:lncRNA from 1 species
ACUUGCUGUCUUUAGAGGGCUUGGCAGCUUUGAGGAGCACCUCAAAAAGAAAAAUACGACUUUCACAUGAAUUGCUGAAGAGGGCCUUAUUCCUUCCACGUGUACCACUCAGAGUUUUACCUGGUUGUCUGCAGGAUUAAGUGCUGGCUCUUGGGAUCCCAGUGUUCCUGGGCAGGUGCUGCAGCACAAUGAGUUGGGAUGGGUAUCUUUUCAAACUGCGACAGCUGAUUAUGCUGAUGCUUCUGACAAGCACUGGGGCUCCUGGGCUGACACCCAGGGAAGCAUGGGGAAGCAGGCUCACGGUUUGCAUCAACAGGACCCAGUUUAGUAGGAUGGCACUUGGAGACUGCUGUGAUUCCCAGAUGGCAGGGCAGACACUGUGGGCUGUUUGUCCAUCACCAGAUUCAGAACUGCUGCUGCCUCUCUGCUGUUGAGGUUCCACUGCCCUGUGGGCAGGGGGUGGAAUGCCAGCAGGAAUAUUCCAACCUGUUCCAGCCCCACUGUGGGAUGGCCAAGAGGAGCACGUGGAAACAAACAUUCUCCUUUCCAGAUCACACCAAAAUUUCUGUGGAUACUUCCAUGACCUGUCCCUGCUGGUUUGAUUAAAGAUGUAAUUCAAGUUCCCCACUGCACUGUAGGCUUCCCUUGACUUCGGAACCAAAAUCAGUUUUCAUGUGGCCUAGAAAUCAGGGGAAGGAUCAGAAGGUGACAUACCCUCUGAAAUAUCUGGAAUACACUGUCUGUUAUGUUGCCAAAUUUUCACUUUGGUUCAGAAAUAACUAAAAAUACCAUCACAUAGAAAGGAAGUCCCAGCUCAUGGAAUACUAAAUAUCUUUCACUGGAGAUUUUCAAGAACCCUCAGGAAUCAAUCUUGUGCCAUGUGCUCUAGGAAGACCCUGACUGAGAAAAGAGAUUGGACCAGAUCCCCCCACUGUGGUCUCUUCCAACCUGACAAAUUCUGUGACUGUUGAAUGCUGGGAUUUCUUGACCAGUCUCUGUUUCUAUUAAUUCUUAUUAAAUGUGAAGGCAAGAGUUUCAUAAUUGUGCAAAUAAACUAGAUAUGGUGUAGAAAACA